GUAACUAUUAAAGUUUUCAGACGCUAAUUGCAAUUACAAAAGGUUUUGAGGUGUCCAACCGGCGGGCAAGCCCGCCGAGGAAACAUGAGUACGCAAAAGACACGGAUUCAGAUGGAGCUAUAGAGACUAUAGACCCCACUAAAAAGUAAUGAUCCUUCCGCAGGUUCACCUACGGAAA
rnacentral:misc_RNA from 1 species